CCCAGGCCCAGCCCAAGUCCCUCCUCUUAGACUGGAGGUCAUUCCAGGGCGCUGAACUAAGGGUCUGGAGACCCAGGGUCUGA
rnacentral:pre_miRNA from 14 species